CUUACUGGACCAUGCUGCUCCUCAAGGGUUCCCAUGCUUUCCUCACUGAACCUUCCGGUUCUCAUAAUUCAGUUUUUGAUCCAUCAGGGAAUUUCCUCGGCCACCGCAGCCUGUCCACUGCAUCCCGCAAGGCAUUUCUAGGUCAGACUCCUCAUGCGGGCAGAUGCCUUCCAUCUGAAAUGCCGAAAGCCAAAUUCCAGGGAUGCUGAUGCUACUGUAGUCAUGCAGCGUGAAAGACAAUUGCUGGACUGAGAUUACAGCAGCCUCCAAACACCUUUCCACCUGGAUUCCAUGACUACUGUGUGUAGAAGAGAGCUAUAAGAGAAGAAAACCCCACCUUCCCUGAUA